CAAUGUUAGCUUCAAGAACAUCAAGGGCACAUGUACCGACCCAGUUGCUGUGAAGCUUGCAUGCAGCCCAGGCCUGCCAUGUGAGAAUGUGGAAUUGAGUGACAUUGAUCUCAAGUAUACUGGAGACAAAGGUCCUAUUACCUCUGUGUGUUCUAAUGUCAAGCCUACAAUUACUCGCGUGGCACAGCCUCUUGCUUGUGCUACCGGCGCUGCUGCUGCUUGAUCUAACAAGCACAAACCAUGCUGCUGAUGUUUCUUCAGAGAUACAUUGGUUGUGUGCUCUUCGAUUUUGUGCUAAUUGUACUAGGUGUUUUCAUCUAAGAGGUGGAAAAUAUCUCAGUGCAUUUUUUUGUUACAUCUUAAAUGAGAUGAAUAAAUUAGUAGGUAUUACAUGAAAAUAGACAUGGGAAAGAGAAAGAAAGUUUUAUUUGAUUAAAAAAGAAUGUUAUUGGAAUAUGAAUCUUCUUUGGAUAUUUGUUUAACCAAAUUUACUCAAUUAGCCUCUUUAUUUAAUUGUUUCUGUAUGAAUGACCACCUUGACCAGUGGUGUGCUAGGAAGGGGAAGAGGGAGGGGUGAUUUAGUCCUAUGAUUUUUGUUUUUUAUGCAAGAAUAGAAGUAAAAAACUUCAAACAAAAAAGAAGAAGAAGGAUUAUUAAUUCUUGUAAUGUGUUGAGUUUAAAUGCACUUUAAAAAAGGGUAAAUUGCCGACUACCCCCUUGAACUAUCAUGCUUGUCGAAAUCUCCACCAUGAAUUAAAUUUUCAGCCAAUUUAGCCCUUGUAUUAAAUUUAUUCGCCAACUUCACCCUUGCGGUUAGCUUUUGACAAUUUCCAUCCAAAUCUUUGUUAAAAAAGUACCAUGUUAGACGUAUACUUCAGUGUUGAAUUAAAAAGAGUGCUGCUAAACGAACCCUAAAAUUAACUAAGUACACCUUACUAUUAAGGUAUUUAUUGAAUUACUAAUUUAUCAUAAUAUAAAAUGACUAAAAAGGAUAUAUUGAAUUGCGAAAUAAAUAAUUAUAAAUACACUAUAUUCAACCUUCCCUGUCUAAAUGCUAGAAUAUGAAUCUUAAAAUCAAGGUAAGAUGAUAUGAUAUUUACCGAGCUUUUACAAAUCGCUCUCAUCAAUCCUCUCCUCUCCUCUCUAGCCACAUUAAGGAAUGGUUUUUUUUCUUUUGCUUCUCGUUUUUACAACUAAUAUUCAAUCUUGCAGGAAGGAUGCCUACUUAUCAAGGAUGUCUGUUUCUAUUAUAAACUACGUGAAGGCUAUAUUAAGUCAAUGGCUAUAAACUCAUGGUAUAAACCCAGGGCAUUGAGAAUUGGGCCCGAGUGCCGCCCUUGGCUGUACUCCUUCGUUUAUAAUGGAUCUGGCAGAUGCAAUAUUUUACUAGUCUUAACUUAUAUAUCUUUCUUCUAGUUGAUGGGUUAGUAAAUUCGAUCUUCUGAGUUUCAUCUCUCUGAUAACAAGGAAGCUAAAACAAAAUCAACUAAUUAGACCAAGCCCAUAACCAAGACAUGGUAACCAUUAACAUGUGAAUCAUCGACCUACAAUCUCACUAGCACAAAACCAGGCAAAGCAUUCCAAACCAAACAGGACAGCAAUCCUGGUAUCCUCCACCCUCAGCUCCUGCCUAUUCUUCCAUAGUUGUUUGACAGAAUCAACCUCAGCGGCUUUGGUGGGUUAAGCAGCAAGUUUGGCAGCAAGGUGGGUUUGGUGUUUGUGAUAAAGUGUAUUAGGGUGUACUAGGGGUAUUUUUGGUAGUUAAAUAGGGUGUACUUAGUUAAUUUCACAUUUUGAUUAAAAUAUUAUGGUGUACUUAAAUCAUAGGGUGUACUCAGUUAAUUUUAGGGUUCGUUUAGCAGCACUCAUUAAAAAUUGAUUUUUUUUUUUCCUGUUGUUCUUCAAAGAGCUUGAAUGGGGGAGAAAUAAAUCCCGAGGGUGGGGAAAGGGGGGUGGCUGAGGGGAGAGGGGAUUCUGGUUUCUGCAAAUGGGGGUUGGGAGGAAGUGGGAGGACGGGAGAUGGAUUUGUGGGUGGUGGUUGGUGGUUGGGAUAUGGGGGCAGAAGAAAUCGGGGGAGGGGGUGCUGAUUUAGGGUUUUGCGGGGUGGGGGGAAUGGGGCAAAUUAGAAUUUAUAAAAAAGCUGAAACUAGAAAAAGAACUCCAAGAACCAGCAAAACCCAAUCCUUGUCAAGCUUUAACUUUAUGUACCACACAAAAUUGAGAACACCCAAGGUGGUUCCAACCGUGAAUUCUUCACUCAAUUAAAAACUCCAUUUUUUUUUAUAACAAAAACAUUAUCUGUAAAAUUAUAAAUACUUAUCUGCUAGUAAGCUUUAAUAUAUACUAUGUUAAUUUGGUAGAAAGGGCAUCAUAAAUUAUUUCAACUUUUAAUUACUAUAUGGAAGGAAGUAAUUGGAACUUUUAAUUAUUUCAACACAAUCGGGUGGAGGGGGGGAAGGGGGUUCUGGUUUCUGCAUGUGCAGGGAGGGAGCAAGGGGGAGUAGUCUGUCGGUGGUGGUUGGGAAAUGGGGGAGAAGAAACUGGUGGGAGGUUUUCUUUUUCUCUAUUUGAUUUUUUUUUUACAUUAUUUUCCUUAUUUUUCUUAAUUCUAUACCUUGUAAAAUUUAAAAUUUACCCUUAUAUUUGACGGGCAUUUGGAUGGAAUUAUGAAAAAGCUAACGGCAGGGGUGAAAUUGGGGAAUAAAUUUAAUACAAGGGCUAAAUUGGUUGAAAAAUUAAUUCAGGGUGGAGAUUUCGACAAGCGUGAUAGUUCAGGGGGAAUUCGAUAGUUUACCCUUAAAAAAACUUUAAAAAUUUGCCUUGAACAUUUGUUAUCUACUAUCAUCUGCAUUUUAUAUGCGUGCCGUAUUAAUCAUUCUUUCUUCUUUGGAGAUGUGGAUUAGGACAAAACAAUGUGCCAAUCCCCUUGCAAUAUGAAUCUUCUUUGGAUUUUUGUUUAACCAAAUUUAGUCAAUUAGCCUCUUUAUUUAAUUAUUUCUCGUCCAAAAUAUUUAGUACAUUGUAAAUGUUGUCUGUGAAAGCGAGCGUAUCUUAACAUCUUAGUAACUUUUUGAGUAUGCUAUCGAUUUUAGGCUAUUAAUAGUACUUGGAAAGAAGCAAGCGCAUCCACAACUUCAAACACGGUUAUGAUAGCAAAAGGAAACUACCUGGUUGGUCCAGUGAAGUUUCAAGGGCCCUGCAAAGCUCCGGUUAGUGUUCGAGUUGAAGGAGCCCUGCAGGCUCUUGUAGAGCCAGAAAAGCUCAAGUUAGAAGAUGGUUGGGUCAUUUUCCAAAAUAUUGAUGGGGUAACAGUCUCAGGAGAUGGCACUUUUGAUGGCCAAGGAUCAAUAGCGUAAUCCAAAAGUGAUUGUGCCAAAACAGGAAAAUGCAACUCACUGCCUAUAGUAAGUUUUUUAAAUUUGAAGUGGACCUUCAACAUGUGAUCAUCACCACCCCUGGUGAAAGUCUAACCACAGAUGGAAUCCACAUCCCCGUUGAUGUAUAUUUUCGAACACCUGAAAAAGAGUAUCCAAAAAUUACAAAUUAAAUUACUCACAAGUGAGGAGAGACGUGCUUCAAAUAUUAGGGUUUAGGUUUUUCACGUUCAACCGUCAUUCCCUCAUUAGCCUAACAAUGCUCGUUUUCAUCCAUGUUUAGUCGUCAUCGCCCUCCUCGACUUGACAAGGCCUAGUCAAUUUUCUUCUAUGUCGAGUCGCUACCGUCACUCCUCUCUUCGAUUCUGCUGUGCUAGCCUCGUUGUUGUCUCUCUCAUAUUCUGGGUGUUGGUUUUGUCAUUCACUUUCUCCUCGGUGCGUCAGCGUUUCUGGUGGUUGUCUUAGUAUGGUGGUUUCAGUGGGUCUGCUGCUGCUAUUGUGCCGACAGUCACCAAGUCAACGAUGACUAUGGUGCAAGCCGCUUCGUUGGGGUCGGCGGUCACGGUGGAGGUGGCUUUCCUCAUGCUCCCUCCGUCGUCCGAUCCGCGAUCUCAAGCCUUACCUUCAUGAGAAGACAGCCGUUGUCCAAAUAUUUGGCGUGGGUGGCUCUUCACCUAGGGUCUAUGGUUUUGGUCCCAAUUUUUACGGUGUUGGGCAAGGUUUUUGGCAACUAGGGUUGUUGGGUACCAUCCUUUUACCCAUAUUUCCCCUUUUUUUUUUAUCCUAUUCGGUUCGGUGUUCCGAUUUUCCUGUCCCGAUACCCACCCCUAGUUCUUAUAGAUUAAGAAUAUUGUCCAAAUGGUCAGUGCCAAGCAAAAAUCCCGUCAAAAGUUAAGAUAAACAAUGUGAGGUUUAAGAACAUUAGGGGCACUGCUGCUGAUCCUGUUGUUGUGAAGCUUGCUUGCAGCAAAGGCAUUCCACGCCAGAAUGUAUAAAUUAGUGACAUCCAUUUGACAUACAAUGGGAAAAAUGGUGCUGCCACAUCUAUUUGUACUAACGUCAAGCCUACUAAGACAGGCCAAAUUUUUCCACCUGCUUGUGGAAAGACUGUAGUUUAAUUUGCUGCAACUUUAAGGUGAUUUAAUUGCAUCUUAAAGAGAUGAUUAAAAGGAAUUAGUAGGAAUUUAGACGAAAAUAAUCUGCAGGGCGCCCUUUCCAUGCUUAAUUGGAAUGGUGGGUGGUGGUGGACUACACAUACGUAACAGUAAUGAUGUUAUCUUUUGUAUACAUGUAUUAUGGGUUUAGAUUAAUGUACUAUUGUUAUUCAUGGGAAAGAAGUAGUAGAGAGAUGUUAAAAAAAGUUUUAUUUGAUUGAAAAAGAAAGUUGUUGGAAUAUAAAGCUUUGGAAUUUUUUUUGGAACCAAAUUUACUCAAUUAUUCUCUUUAUUUAUUUAUUUCUUCUUGAAUGACCACCUCGACCAGUGGUGUGCUAGCCAGGAAGGGGUUGGAUGAUUCGUAUAUUCUUAUGUUAUAUAUUUUUUAUAUGCAAGAAUAGAAGUAAAAAACUUCAAAAGAAGAAAGAUUAUUUGAGUAAACAGAUAAAUUUAAAUGGACCAUUUUUAUUUGAGUAAACAGAUAAAUUAAAAUAGACCAUUUUUAAAAUUAAAAAAAUUUUCCUUGAACAUUUGUUAUCUACCACGAUUUGCAUUUUUUAUGCGCCAAUUAAUCAUUCUUUCUUCUUUGCAAAUGUGAGUUAGGUCAGUGUGCCAACAAUCAAAAUACCCAUGAGAGUUAAAACAGGUUUCCCGAGUGUGUUUUGGGUUUCCACAAUGAGUGCAUCCAUUCACGUUGGUCAGAGCCCUUAGUCGAGGAGGUUGUGUAGUCGGGCUUGAAGGUGAGCCAACAACCGUGACAUAGGACUGCAUCUGAAGCGGCACAACGAUAGAAGAAGGCAUCUGGCAGGGGUGACCGGUCGCUAAGGUGUAGCCGACUGGUUGGUGAGUUCCCUUGGCUGCCAAACCAGUCGCAGUCGGUGCCUGAGUGCCCAUCAUCAUAGCUUGUCGGAGAUCUCGUCGGACAUAAGAAUAUGCUUGCUCCACGGUGGGAAAUGGAGCCAUCUGAAGGACAUCACUUCAGGCCUUAUCAAGUCGGUUAUCCAAGCCAUCCAGGAAGAUAUAAGGCUCGUUUGGGAGUGCUUCUUCCCGAAGCGCUUAUGCUAGUAGCGCUUAGGACAUAAGCGCUUCUACAAAGAAGCAAUUUGUCAUUUGGAUGUCACAUUUAAAAGUGCUUUACACUACAUAAAAGCACUUUUGAUAUUUUGUUAAGUGUUUGGCUGACACAAUAAAAGCGCUUUGAUUUAUCUGGAACUCUCCUAAAUUGUGAGUCUUGUGGACUUAUGAUAUCACUAUCCAUGCGACAAACGACAUCUAAAAUUAUCCCACUGCUACAAAAAAGCAAAAAGACGACGGUAAAUCACCGUCGUGUAUUCGAUUUUUCAAUGGUCGUGGAAUCCACCGUCAUCUUUUCCCUCAUAUACCACGACGCUAAAUAACCGUCGUUGUUAAAAUAUACAACAUCAUCAACAAAUACAAAACGACGUCUUUGUACUGCAAAAAGAUCUAAAAAAGCAGUCGAGGAUGAGAAUAGACGACCAACUCUCUAAAACAACCGUCGUUAAAAAGGAAAAAUAUGACACAUAUUAAGAGAACAAGGCCGCAAGAUAGACAUACAACGACGGAAAUAAAAAAACGACGCCGUUAAAUAUCAUUUUCACGACAAUAAAAAAUUUGACGUCUUUAAAUACAUUAGAAGACGACGUUAUUGAUACCUACUACGUCGCAUAUAUAAAAACAGCCGUCGUAAAAUUAAUUUUCCACUUCGAUUUUUCGAUAAAAGAUGACGUGGAAAUAGUUGUCAGUGUCAUUAUUUACGACGUAUGUAUUUAUUGAGUAGACGUUGAAAAACGAAACAACGUCGGUUACAAAUAUAUGAGAGUCAUAUUACAAAAUUUAUACGUCAUAUUUUCAGAAACAAACAACGACGAUAAAUAUUAGACGUUGUUAAAUAAAAUAACGUCGGAAAACAAUAAAAACAGACGUGUUUAGUCUGCUAAAGUUCUAGAAAAUAGUCGAGGAUGAGAAUAGACGACCAACUCAAACAAAUCACCGUCGUUAAAAAGGAAAAAUAUGACACAUGUUAAAAGAAAAAGGCCGCAAGAUAUACAUACAAUGACGACAACUAAAAUUUUACGCCGUUAAAUAUAAUUUACACGACAAGAAAAAAUAUGACGUCUUUAAAUACAUGAGAAGACGACGUUAUUGAAAUAUACUACGUCUCUUAUUUACAAACAACCGUCGUGAAAUAAAUUUUCCACUUCGAUUUUUCUAAAAAAGAUGACGUGGAAAUAGUUGUCAGUGUCAUUAUUUACGACGUAUGUAUUUAUACAGUUGACGUUGAAAUGCGAAACAACGUCGGUGGCAUUUAUAUAGUCGACGUUGUAUUUAUAUCUAUCAUCAUUACUCACGACGCACUUAAUAAUAUAGACGACGUUGAACUUCUAAACAACGUCGGUUCCAAAUAAAUAAAAGCCGUAUUACAGAACAUAUAGACGGCGUUGAUUAUGAUGAGAGCCGUAUUACAAAUAACGUCGUUUAAUUGUUAUUAGACGGUGGUUAUAAUGAAUUUCCGUCGGAAUUCGUUUCGUUCCUCUUCGUUUAUAAAAGAACUUGCGACGUGGAAAAUGUAUGAUGACGUCGUAUUUUUUAACGUUCAGAUUAUAUAUCUCGUUUUUUAGACGUCGGUAUUAUGGGAUUGGAGUCGUGUUAUUUUGAAUUACAUGGCGGUUCUUAAUCCUUCCCCGACGUGAUAUCCUGAAUAAUUGCUUCACAAUUGCGUCGUGGUUCUUCAUUGUUACGUUGCUUUAAGACGUCGGUAAAUAUGCUGAAUAACUGGUUCACAAUAACGUCUUGUUUUAUUUGAACGUAGAAAGUGAAGAAAUCACAUUACAAUAUAUUACAAAAUUAAUGUCAUACACUGCCAAUUACAUAAGCAUCAUUCAAUCCAUAUAUCUUCACACCCAUCUCGAAUAUUUUGACCGCCUAACUCACCCACCAGUUCAUCAAAUGUGUCAACAUUUGGCAUCCCUCUAGUAAAUGGCUCACACUCAAUUAUCACAUCACCUAAGACUUCAUCACCAAUAACAUCAUUAUAUUCUCUAUUAGGCAUUGAUAACACUACCGAGUCCCGACCAACCACGAUGCAUCGGGUCGUCAACAAAAAAUAUUUGUUUGACUUGAGAAGCCAAAACAAAUUGGUCAUUCCUAUGUCCAAUUUUACUCAAAUCUACAAGGGUAAAUCCAAGUUCGUCGACUACAAGACCAGAACUAUCUAUCCAAUCACACCUAAAGACUGGGAUUGUAAACUUUUGGUAGUCAAGGUCCCAAAUUUCUUGAAUGACACCAUAGAAACCCAUAUUUGAGAGAAUUGAGUUUUUAUCCUUGGCACUAGCAACUUGCAUGGUAUGUGCAAGUAAAUAAACUCCACUAUUUUGAGUUGUCCGCACAUCAUCUUGUGCCUUGAUAUUGAAUUUAAUACUUUUAAUAAGAUAGCUCCUAUAUAAUGGCACUGCCAUGUUUGGACCAGCUGCUAGCCACCUUAAAUUUUCUGAUACGCCAUGAUUGUCUUCCUCAAGUUCACUUUGAACCUGCAAAUUAAUCAUAUCUUAAUUCAAUCUAACAUAGAAAUAAGAAGAAAAUUAAAAGAGAAAUAUGUUAUUCAACAACAUAUACCUUGAAGCGUAGCCAUUGAAUGAAAGUGCUAUUGUGCUUAUCCUGCAGCCACUUUGUUCUCUUUCUAAAUUUUGGAUAAGCAGUCUUGAUGUGAAUCAUAUGUUGCCUACAUGACACGAAAAAUUCAAGCAUUACGGUCCUAAAUAUAGAAGAUAAACAUAAGAAAUAAUUUAAAAUGGAAACUUAAAGAAUAAAGCUCAUACGUACUCGAUAUAAGGUAGGACUUCCUCCGUAUUCUCCAAGACAUAUAGAUGUGCUUGAUUCAACAGGUCCUGAUCAACUACGCUCACUGUGCAACCUGAUAAUGGCUUUGAAAGUCCCAUCUUUUGGCUUGAAGGCACUCCAACUGUACUAACAUCAGAUAAAUGCUGAGUACAACACUUUACCGCUUCUUCAGCUAUAUACCGCUCAGCAAUGCAACCUUCGGGACGAGUACGAUUCUGAACAUACCCCUUCAGCACUUUCAUAUAUCUUUCAAACGGAUACAUCCACCUAAAAUAUACUGGCCCACAUAGACGAACUUCUCUGACAAGAUGUACUACUAGAUGAACCAUGAUAUCAAAGAAUGAAGGGGGAAAGUACUUCUCAAGCAAACACAGAGUAACUACUACAUCUUCUUCCAACUUAUCUAGCUUGGAAACAUCAACAGUCUUUGCACAUAUAGCAUUGAAGAAGAAGCACAAACGAGUUAUUGCAUACCUUGCAGGCUUCUCCAAAACAGAACGAAUUGCCACAGGGAGCAAUUGUUGCAUUAAGGUAUGACAAUCAUGUGAUUUAAGGCCAAGAAGUCUUGAAUCUUGUAAAGAUACAAGAUUUUUAAUAUUUGAAGAAUAACCUUCAGGGACCUUCAUACCAUAGAAAGAAUUGCAAACCUCUCUCUUCUCUGCUCUUGACAAAUUCCAAGGCCCAGGAGGCAAACGAGUACGUCUUUCUCCAUACUCGGGUUGCAAAUCAGUUUUGACCCCCAUGUUCAAUAAAUCUAAUCGAGCAGCAAUCCCAUCUUUAUUUUUUCCAGGGAUCUCCAGCAAUGUACCAAUGAUACUAUCGCAAACAUUCUUCUCAAUGUGCAUAACAUCUAGGGCAUGCCUUACAGGAAGGUAUUUCCAAUACUCGAGUUCAAAGAAUAUUGAUUUCUUCUUCCAACAAACUCUGUCACCAUUUUCAACCAUAUGCAGCACUUCUUCUCCGGUUAAUGGCUCGGGAGGUAUGCCAUAUUCAGGUUUCCCAUUAAAAGCUGCACGUUGCCUCCUAUAUGGAUGAUUGAUUGGUAACCAUUUUCUAUGCCCAAUGUAACAAAUUUUGUGGCCAUUUUUCAACCUGUGACUAGGUGUAUCAUCGCCGCAUAUUGGACAAGCUUUAUAUCCUUUAACAACACAACCAGAUAAGUUUCCAUAGGCGGGGAAAUCAUUAAUUGUCCACAUUAAUGCAGCUCUGAGUGUAAAGUAUUCUCCAUUAUGUGCAUCAUACACUCCUCUAAUCCCAACCCACAAGGAUUUUAAAUCAUCAAUCAAAGGCUCCAAGUAGACGUCUAUAUCAUUUCCGGGUUGUUUAGGACCGGAAAUCAAUAAGGUUAACAUCAUGAACUUUCGUUUCAUGCACAGCCAUGGAGGGAGAUUAUAUGUAACUAAGAUAACCGGCCAACAACUAUAUCUGCUACUUAGAGAACUGUGGGGAUUGAAUCCAUCAGAUGAAAGAGCCAAUCUCAAGUUUCUCGUCUCAUUACCAAACUCAGGCCAUUUAUCAUCAAGAAGUUUCCAAGACGGGGAAUCCGCCGGAUGAGACAUCUGACCGUCAAUUGAUUUUCUAGCAGCAUGCCACCAAGUCAAACUCUUAGCUGUCUCAUGUGAUUGAAACAUCCUUUUAAACCUUGGAAUUGGGGGAAAAUACCACACCACCUUCGCUGGCACACCCUCUUUCAAGAUUGAAUCUUUGCCUUCCUUCCACCUUGAGAUACCACAAGUAGGACAAUUAGUUGAAUCCUCAUACUCCUUCAUAUACAAGAUGCAAUCAUUGGGGCAUGCGUGCAUUUUCUCAUAACUCAGCCCCAAUGCACACAAAGUCUUUUUAGCCUCAUACAUGGAGGUUGGUAUUGUAUUUCCUUCUGCAAGCAAAUCGCCUUGAAGUAUCAAUAAUUCUGUAAAAUAGACAUCACUCAUCCCAUGUUUUGCCUUCAAAUUAUACAACUUCACUAAUGCCGAUAACUUCGUGUACUUUCUACAACCAGGGUACACUGGUUGAUCUCCAUCCCCAAUCACAUUGGCAAACUCAUACGGAUCCGAACCAAAAUCACCAAAAUCAUUAUCAUCCAUAUCAAUUUCUUCAGACACAAAACUGUACCUACUAUGGCCAUCAUCUUCUUCAACAUUUCUACUAGCAUUAGUAGUUGCUUCCCAAGGUUCUCCGUGAAAUGUCCAAUUCUUAUAGCUUUGGUCAAUUCCAUUAAAGUAUAAGUGAUCCCUUAUAAUUCCAACCCCAAACAACUUCAAAUUAACACAUUUAACACAUGGACAACGGAUAUGUGUUGUAGUUAGAAGAUUUUCUACAGCAAAGUUCAAAAAUGCUUCCACCCCAAAUUCAUAUGCCUUCGAUCUUCUAUCCGAGUGCAUCCAUGACUUAUCCAUCUUCGACACUAUAACCUAUUAUCUAUAAUAAAGUGAAAAUACAGGCAAUGACCAUCACUAUAGCAGAUUAUACAAUGAUCUAAUCGCAAGUAAUACACAACAGAGACGACGGGUUUUAAACAAAAACAGACGUAUUUGGCAUAUAUAGACGACGGAUUUUCAACAGACGUCGUCUAUUAUAAGUAAUACAAACGACGGUUUAUGAAAAAACCGUCGUGUAUAAGUAAUACAACGACGGUAGUUUAAAAAAACCGUCGUGUAAUCGUCGUCGUAUGCCUUAAAAUUCGUCGUGUCUCAGUUUAUUUUCAAGAACACAAAACCCAUUAAGAACACAACAUAUAUAUGAAACCAAGCAAGAAACCAACAUAUACAUGAAACCAAGCAUGAAAACAAUAAAUCCAUUCCCAAUUCAACAUAACAUAGGGUGAUUAAAAGAUACGACAAAAUUAAAUCCAUUCCCAAUUCAACAUAACAGGAUAAUGUAAUCCAUGAACCCAUUAAACAGAAAAUCCAUGAACCCAUACCUAUAAGCACAUUAUUAACAGAUCGCAAAGCAUACACAUAAAACCCUUUAACAAAACAACCUAAUAUAACUCGAAUCGUUACUAGAAUCAUCACUCGAAUCCCCAUCUUCAUUAUCAGUUUCUUCCUUCGUAGGUACUAUUUGCUCCCCAUCAUUUUCUCCAUAGCGGAAAAUGACAAGAUCAAAUAAAGGUGUACUUUUGCUGGAAAUCAUUUGGAAGUUGGUGAUCUGUGUCUUUUUGUGUUGAUUUUCAGCAAAAGUACACCUUUAUUUGAUCUUGUCAUGAACCCAUUAAACAGAAAAUCCAUGAACCCAUACCUAUAAGCACAUUAUUAACAGAUCACAAAGCAUACACAUAAAACCCUUUAACAAAACAACCUAAUAUCAUUCAAUGAAUUUACAAGGGGAAGAUAGGGUUUGUACUUACAGGUUGGACGAGCUCACAGAUUCGACGGAGCCUGGAGAGUGCAACUUUUAAUUAGAGCAGAAGUGAGAGAGCGAAAUGUUAUGUCGCGCGAAAUCUGAAAAUUUUAGGUUUCAGGGUUCGAAGUAUAAGAAUAAGAGCCAAAUCUAAAAAAAUUUAGGUCGCGCGAAAAUUUUUAGAGUUCGCGCGUUUUAAAACGUCGAAAGAAAAACCAAGGCGAAAGUUCUACACGUACCGACGUAAAUUUAAUAUUCCACGACGGAAACUUCAUUUUUCGGAUUAAGAACGUAAGGCCGUUCAUUUUGAAGCUUCAUUUUUCGGAUUAAUUUUAAAUUUAUUUUGAAUUUUUUAUAUAACGACGACUGAAAAACCACGUCGUUGUUAAGAAAUUAAAGACGUUGUAAAUUAUAUAAACCGACUUACAUAUUAAAAUGACGUCGUUUAAAGCGUAAACCAUGUCGUAUGUUUUUCUGUACGACGUAAAAUAUGUAUUCCACGACGCAACCACCGUCGUUAAAAAUUAAUACCCUAAACCCAUAAAACUAAAUUAUACAAUUUAAAAAAUUAAGUUUAUAAAAGGUUUUAUGGUUUUAAAGCCUAACAUAUACCCUAGACUACCCAAAAAUUAUACUUUAAAAAUAAACCCCAAUAAAUAACAACCCUAAUCUCUAAACCCUAGACUCUAAACCCUAAACCAUAAAACUAGAAGUGAUUUUAUGACUCAUCAAAACAAUUUUGUUUUGGAUGGUCAUUUUAAAUUUUUGUUAUUCAAAAUGAAUUUUUUCAAGGUUUAUGUGGAAGAAAAUAUAUCAAUGACUUCAUAGGAGUUGACUUUUCAAUUUUCUGAUUUAUUUUAAAUUUAUUUUGAAUAUUUUGAUAUAAAAAUAAUAAAAUAUUCUUACCACAACAACAAACCACGUCGGUGUUAAUAAAUUGUAGACGUUGUAAAUUGUAAUAGACUACUAAGUCGUUAAAAUGACGUCGUUAAAAUGAGAAACCAUGGCGGCUAUUUAACUAUACGACGUAAAAUAUAUAUAUCAACGACUUAACCGCUGUCGUUACAUAAACGUCGUCGAUGAUACCCUGAACCCUUAAGAAAUUGAAGAUGUUGUAAACCAUAAACGACUCAAUUGUUCAAAGAACGUCGUCUAACUAUAUUUUUACGUCGUAUUUGUUUAAAACACGAAACAACAAAAUACGACGGUUUUUGACUUUAUUAGGUCGUUGGAAAAGUAUUACACGUCGGUUAAGCAAUUUGUAUGUUUGUUUUUUUUUUAAUUUAAGAAAACCUCAACAAAUUUUUACAUUACAUAUUAUAGAGAAAAUUUGUACAUUAUACAUAAAUAUCAAGUGUUCAAUAUUGCCCUGUUAAUAAUUUGGAAAAACAAACUCUGCCNNNNNNNNNNNNNNNNNNNNNNNNNNNNNNNNNNNNNNNNNNNNNNNNNNNNNNNNNNNNNNNNNNNNNNNNNNNNNNNNNNNNNNNNNNNNNNNNNNNNCCCUGGGCAAUACUGCAUAAACAAUGACUAUUAGGGUUUAUAAAUAAAAAGAAAUUCAAUCACAGACGACGAUAUUUUUCAUAACCGACGUAGUAUAUCCAUUCAACGACGUUAAUUUUACAUGACCGUCGUUGAUAAUACAAAAAACGACGUGAAAUGUAUGAAGGUAAUUUCUUCUUACCUUAUUCUCAAACCCCAAGGAAGGAUCCAUGAUGAUGUCCCUCAUGAAGCGCAUCACAUAAUACCCGCAUUCGACAUUGCUGGGUUGCUUUGGUGUGCCUGAGAGAGUUUUCCAAAUUACAUUUUUACGUCCUGCUCGGGCUAUGUGGGUAUUAUAUAUUUUUAAAGCACUGUUCACGAUGUUUUUCGCCUCUUCGUCGACCACACGAUGACCUGGCAGAGGAUCCAGAAAAUAGACGGUCUCCUUCUUUGCUCUUACAAUCAACAAGAUCCAAUGACGGCUGCACAAAAUUAAUAUAAAAACGACGGUUAUUUACAAAAACGACGUAUUAUAGUAUUUCACACGACGAAAUAAAGUAGAUAACGACGACAUUAUAUAUUUAUCACGACGAUAAAUAAAUACCGACGUGGUUAGUAGUUUCAAACGACUAAAUAAAAUAAAACACCGACGUGGUUAGUUUAUAAGCUGUCAUUUAUUGAAAAUCAUAAAAACAAAAUCCUAAGGAGACUAACCCUGGAUUGUAAGGCAUCAUGAAAAUCUGUUCACCGUCUGUCUUCUGAAGUCGAGCUGCUACCAGUCGUGAUCUUUCAGUUAUUGUGCCAGAGUUGGCACUAACUGUAGCAGGGUCGAUAAAGCCAACCAUGCUGCACAUAUUGGCUUGUUUCAAAACAUCGUGUAAGUACCUAAAUACAUAAAAUAAUAUAAACAAGUCAGCAAAAACAAACACGACGGUUAUGUAUAAAAAAACGACGUAUUAUAAUAUUUCACACGACGUACUGAAAUAGAUAAGGACGUUAUAAUAUAUUUAUCACGACGGUAGUUAGUUAAGACGACGUGGUUAGUUAGUUAAGACGACGCAAUAUAUAAACCAACGAGUUAUUAUCUUAGAAGUACAAACCUCAUAUAUAUAGCCAAUACAGUAGCUCCAAUUUCUUCCAUGCCUGCAAAUUGUGUAAUAUCUUCAGGCAGGAGGAAGGUAUCGCGCUCACCACCAAACACCUCCUUAUCAAUUGUAAAUUGGAGUGUCUUAUCCUCAGGCAGGAGUGUCGUUUCCACAAAACGACAAAGGGUUUUUAAAGAAGAUGGCGCCUCCAUGUUUGAAUAAGCACCAACUUCAAUAACCUGUUUAAAGAAAUAAAAAAAAUGACGUGGUAAUUCAAUAAAGACGACGGUUUAAGGAAUAAAACGUCGUCUUAAAAGGAUUUAAACGACGGUGAAAAAACUGUCGUGGUAAUUCAAUAAAGACGACGGUUUUAUUAAUAAAGCGUCGUCUGAAACCAUUUAAAUGACGGUGCAAAAACCGUCGUUUAAAUAUUUUAUUACGUCUUAAAAAAAGUCCGCCGUCUAAGUUUUAAACAAACGACGGAUUAAAUAAAAAUAUCGACGUCUGAAAUUUUGAAAAACAAAUAAAAAAGGCAAAGUUAUGUGAACAUACCUUGUCGUCAUGCUUUUCUUCAUCUUCUUUCUCCUUUUCUUCUUCCUUCUCUUCAUCUCUUUUUUCUUCUUCCUUCUCUUCAUCUGGCUGAUGUUUCCCCAUUUUGGCAGUAUCAUCCUCCAAAUGUAGGGAUCUCACAUCACCUCCAGAGCAGCCAGCUUUGUCAGACAUUGGAUUUUUGGGGCUUUGGCUAAUUCUUGGUUUAAGCAUGCUUGGAUCAAAAUUGGGAAUUAAUUGGGAAAGCUGACUCAGGAAAUGCUCCCUCUCAGCCUCUACCAAUUGUUUUGUCCUAGCCUCCAUCCUUAAGGCCUCUUCCCUUGCCUUAGCCUCCAUCUUUUUAGUCUCUUCUUGAAGGAGAACUCUUAAACUGUCCUUCAAACGGUCGUCAAAGCUUACCCUCUGUGGUUUGGGCAAAUUGAAAUAUUGCCUUGGGGAAACACCAGCACCAACUCCCCUCAGUCUGCCUGGAUGCUCGGGGCCCAAAGCCAUGGUCAGCACAUCAUUGCUGCCAUCUACUCUGACUUUGCCUUCCGAGACUUGUUUCUGCAAUUCAUCCUAAAAAAGAUAAACAAAAAAACACACGACGGUUAUUUAUGUACAAACGACGUAUUAUAUAAUUUCACACGACGCAAUAACGUAUAAACCGACGUUAUUAUAACUUAUCACGACGGUAGUUAUACCGACGUGGUUAUUUAUUUAAAACGACGAAAUGAAUAAACAACCGACGUCUUAUGCUAUAAUUAAAGAUAACAGAGUAGUGAUUCCUAUUUAGACCGUUAACGACGUUUUUAAAAAAGUUUCGACGUGGUAAUAUCAUUCACACGACGCGAAAAUGAACCACCGACGUCUUAUGCUAUAAUUACAUAAAACAUAGUAGUGAUUCCUAUUUAGACCUUUAACGAUGUUUUUAAAAACUUUUCGACGUGGUAAUAUCAUUCACACGACGAAAAAUAUAACAUACGACGUAAUAAGAAUAAUUCACAGUUUAAUAAAAAUUUAAAACAGAGUGAUAGUAGGCUUACAAUUAAUUUUGCUUUCUCUGCCACCUUUGGAUCAGGGAUGUUACCAUGUUUGUCCUGUCUAGCUCUCUUCCAUAAGGUAGAUCGAUCAAUUUCUACCCCAGGCAUGGUUUCCUCCAAUUGAUCCUCCAAUCCAGCAUAUCCUUUUCGAGACAAUCGAUGAUUGUACUCGAGUUUCUCCCUAAUCUGUGCAUGUUGAGAAUGCACAGACUCAAAAUCUUUGGAUAGCCUUGAAGCUACAAAGGCAUCCCAUUGUGCUUUCUCUAUGAAUUUAUAUGUUUCAGGGGGUUGGCUUAAUUUCUCCCUGUCAUUGGUGUAUGGAAGGAUAUAAUGCCUUGUUAGUGUAGACUUGAAAUCCUUCCAUUUCUUGGAAGCAGAAGCUAAAACAGAGGUCUUGCCCCCUUGGCCUACGACAAAAGCCAUGUCAACUGCUUCCCAAAUCUGCUCCUUUAUAUCCUUGGGGAUUUGGGACCAUUUCUUGUCCACAAGUGGGAUCCUGGAGCGUGCCAACACACCAAUAUACGACUGCAUCUCAAUAUGUGCUUGGCCAACACCUUUCCCCCUUUUAUUGUACUCAACAAUUGGCCUCAGUUUCUGAAGCUUUCUCUUCACAACACGAGGCAUUGUGCUCAUACCUCGACCAGUCUUUGAAUCAUCAGAGAUUGUUGUCUGGCUGGUUUGUUCUGUCUCAGCAGAUGAUGAAGCAAACUUCAUCUUCUUCGAAGACUUCAUCUCCUUCGAAGACUUGUCUUGAGGAGCUACCAUUCCAAGCUUCUUGGAGCCAGAAUCCUUAGUUUGUUGUUGAGAAACCAUUUUAACAGACAAAACUGCAAGUGAAAAUAUUUCAGGAGAACAUUAAGAACACAAACGACGGUAUUAAAAAAAUACGACGUAUGAUAUGAUUUUAGACGACGCAAUGAAAUAAUCUCAGACGUAAUAAAUGUUUAAAACCAUUAUUUAUAUAACGUCGUGGUAUAUAUGUUCACACGACGUCAAUAGUAAUACACCGUCGUGGUAAACUAUUAUUUAUAUAACGUCGUGGUAUUUAUGUUCAUACGACGUCAAUAGUAAUACACCGUCGUAGUAUUAACAUUCACACGACGUAAAACAAUAAGAUAUUUUGUCGUCUAUAUUAGAUACCAACCCUAGUUUCUUUUUCUUUAUAUUUUAUCAAAUAAGGGAAAAACAAAAACCAUUGUUCAGCGAAAUCAAACCUGCAAUGAAACAAGCAUAUAAAAAAAGACUAUUAUUUUAAAAACAACUUUGUCAAUUUUCAGACGACGCUAGAACAACUGACGAACCGUCGUGGUCUACCGUCGUCUUAUUUAGUUGAUGUAGUUGUCUUCAAAGUUGGAAACUUUCUCUCUUUGUCUGUAUAUUUUAUCAAACUUGGAAAGAAGUAAAAUGAUUUUGGCCAGAAAAAAGGUAAAAAGAUUUUUCAAACAAAAAACGUAUGAGCAUGCAAAACAGUAACCAAAAUAGUGAAAAUGAAAGCUUACCUUUUGCGUGCAAUGAAAGCAAGAGGAAGAUGAUCGAUGUUUAUGUUCAGAGACGACGAAGAAGACGAGAGGAAGACGAUGAGAAACUCUGACAAUGCUCUGACAAGGAAAAAAGACGAAAAGGUUUCUCUGGGAGAUUGAAAUUUUUAAUCGGGUUUGGAAACAGUGCAUGUGUAAGUCGAAAAGUUGCUUACAUAUAAAACCAUUUCAAAAAAAUAAUACGGCGGUUACAUUUAACUACGUCGUUUUUAAAUAAAACGACGCAAUAUUUUUCAUUCGACGUGGAAUCAUUUCAUUUAACGUCGUUAGGUUUAAUAUAACCGACGUGGAUUUUAAUUUUUAAAUUAUGAAUAGAAUUUUUUUUCCCGUGACCUUUCAGUUUAUUUUUCAAUUACAGUGCGUUAUAAAUAGAGUUUUUUUUCCGGAGAAAAUUUAAAACGAAGGAAAUUAAUAUUCUGCAAUAUGUAAAGUUUCUUUUUUGGAUGACAGAUUUAAAUAAAAUAAGAAUAUAAAAACAACAAAUGUGUAAGUCAAGUAGACGAAAAGUUGCUUACAUAUAAAACCAUUUCAAAAAAAUAAUACGGCGGUUACAUAUAACUACGACGUAUAAAUUACAAAAUACGACGGUACAUUUAACUUCGGACGUGGUAAAUAAAUACGACAGUAGUUUGUAGGUACCGUCGUAGUAAACUCAAAAAUUAAAGUACAUAAGUAAUAACUCGCGUCAUGGUAGAUUAUUUAACACGUCGUUUUUAUUAAUUUACCGACGUGGAUUUCUGUAAUAUACGUCGAUCAUACCGACGUUGAUUGUACAAUUUAAACGGCGGUUUUUUUUGUAAGGACCGCCGUUGGUUUUAAAAAUUUAUUCUAUAAAUUUGUCGCUUUCAUUCAUUUUCGGUUUACAUUUAAGGUUCCAAGUUCUUCCUCUCUUAGUCUCUCAUGUCUCAAAGACAAUAAUUUGGAUGUUUUCUCAAAGAGAAAUUGAGCUUACUCGCAUCAAAUAUAUGUCCACAAGAAGAAGCUUGUCAACUAGCCUUCUCACUUCCUUGAUCAAGCCUGAUAGGACACUUAGUGCUUCUGAAUACUCCUUGCUUUCCAUCAAAAGAGAUGCAAGCCUGGCCUCCACUCGCUGUCGAAGGAAAGUUCGCUUCUCAGGGAAAUCUGAAGAUCAGAUGUGCCUGAUCCUCUGCUUGAUUUUCUUGCCUAAGAAGAUCCGUCGGAUUUAUUGUGAUAGCCUCUUCCUUUAUCCGUAGAGCUUCAGAAGAAGAAGAUGGGUUUCAAGAAUGCGAUAAAGAAUAGAAAUGGCUUCAGAUGGCCUCUAAAGCAUGAGCAAUUGAAUCAGUAGUUUCUGGGAGAUAUGAUGAAGACAUUGUCAAUGCUUUGAACUACACAAGUCCUGCAGAAAGAUAUGUUAAAGAAACUGAAACAACGGCGGUUUUCUGUUCUACCGUCGUCUUUUCUCGUCGUCUAUAUUAGGGUAAGAUGGCGGUAGAUUUAUAAUUACCGACGUAGAUUAUUUUGUUAAACGUCGUUAAGUGUACUACAACGGACGUGGAUUUUAUUUUUAAAUUAUAAAUAGAGUUUUUUUUCCCGUAUUCUUUCAGUUUUAGUUUUCAAUUACAAAGCGUGAUAAAUAGAUUUUUCUUUCCCGAGGAAAUUUAAAAUGAGGGAAAUUAAUGUUCUAGAAUUUGUAAACUAAACGACGCAAUAUUUGCAAAUCUGUGUCAUCUGUUAAGAUUAUGAUGUGGAACAAAGUUCCAUCUGGUAAGAUUUCGUAACCCUUGGGAUCUCAGACAAAUCUGAUUAUGUCGGCGGUGUUCUAUAUAAACCGUCGUGGUUAUUUCAAUUCUUGUCAUUAAGUAGAUCUACCGACGUAGGAUAAGAAAAUCAAAGAAAAAAAUUGUUAACAAAAAUUCUUAUUAAGACGACCGUUAAAAUUAAAGGUACGACGUAUAAAAUGAAUAAAUACGACGUUAAAUUUUAUUGUACGAUUUAAAGAUAACGUCGUAGAACUAUACGAGAAUGACGUCGAUAUAUUUAUAUUUUCCGUCGUUGUAAAUUAAUUUAAUACGGCGAUAUUUUGUAUUUUAAAGCCGUGGAUUUGUUUGUAAUUAUACGGCGUCUUAUACGAAAAUCUCGUCGUGUUAUUUUAUGAGUAAAAACGGCAGUUUUUAUUGAAAUCGUCGUCUUUACUUUCUACGUCGGUCGAUUCAUAACUUCUGCCGUUCUUUGUUGGCAUUGAUUUUACACUGCAGAAAUCUGUUUCAAAUAGACGUCGGUUGUUUAAUUAUGUACGUCGUUGUUUUUGAACAGCCAUUUGAAACUCCAUUUUUUAGUUGUCUAAGGUUGUAUUACACGACGGUGUUUCUAGAACCGUCGUCUUUUUAUAAACCACGACGGUUUUCACUUAGACCGUCGUUGUUUUCUGGUCGUCUUUUUCACUUUUUGUAGUAGUGUCCCCAACCCCUUGACACCAUCCCCACCAGAAUGUUGAAAUUGGACCAUUCUAUUAGUGAAAGCACUGAAAAAUGCAAUGCAUUGCCAUAGUGCAACCCAGAACACAGCUUCUUUCUAAAGUCGAUACAAAUUGAGAGGGAGUGCUUGGUGGCACUCUUUGGGGGUUUUGAGCGCGCAAUGCUCGUCCAAAACACUGCAGCCAACAAAUCAAAAGGGUUGGCUUCAGGGCAAGUUUUGUGGAUUUGUGAGAGGCCUUGCUUGAUCAUUGCACUGGAGAAUUUGAAAGUGGUUGUGCUCAUUUUCUUUUCUGGUAAAGGGGUCUUUGCUGCCAUAGACUUGGCUUCAUAAUAAGCCUCUGCUGAUUUUGUUUUUAUUAUGUCUUGAUCAACGGGUCUGCCUCCGAGGGCUGAUGACUCCCCGACGAGAAGCAGGUGGGCAAAUUCAUUUAUCUCCAAAACCAGGACUGAUUCUUAUGUUAAUGCUUUUUUAAUCAAGUUUGGUGCUACAUAUAAUAAUGUUUGUUUUCAAUAAAAUCGAGCACACAAUAUUAUAUAAGCAAGAGGCAUACAAGAAUGCAGAACUCAUCUCCAUUCUCUAGCAAGAAAGAGAGAGGAAAAAAGAAAGAAAGGGUAUUUUGGCAUUUAAAAAAAUUAAAUAUAGGUAUUUUCGGUAUUUUAAAAGUUUCAUUAAAGGGAGCCAAGUGCUUCCCGUGUUUUUGUGCUGCAGCCCUUUUAAGAAGAAGCACCUUUCAAGUGCUUCUUCCAAAACCACUCCAAGUGCUUUUGGAUCUCACCCAAAGCACUUUUGCAAUUUUUGCCAAACACCAUUUUUAAAAGAUAGAAGCGCUUUUCGUUGCUCCAAAAGCACUCCCAAACGAGCCUAUAAACACAGUCUUCCUAGAGAAUGUCGUUGUACUGUUGGAUAUCAGAGUCACACUACAUCCUACUCGGACGACGGAAGUGUAUGUCUUGCCACAAGCCUUGAAGAUUAUUGUAAUAAGUUUCAAUCGAGCCACCUGCUUGUCGCAAUCGUUGACUUUGCUGUUUAAGGUCGUACACCUGAGGGGUGUACGUGCCAUCAAAGUAGAUCGUGGCAAUCGCAUCCCAUAUUGUUUUUGCCGCAGGAAAUCAAAUAAAGGUGCUAAUCAAGCGAGGGUCCAAAGAAUUGAUUAGCCAGCCUUUCACAACUGUGUUUUGGGUGCGCCAUCAGUUGAAACUCGGGUUGGUUUGAGUAGGUGUCCCAACUUGUCUUUGCCGGCAACAUACAUCUCGACAACUUGGGACCAAAGGGGGUAGUUGGAGCCAUCCAACUUGAUUCCAAUAUGUGCUGAAGCUUCAUAGGUAAUAGUUGGGGUCGGGUAUACCAUGCUAAAAUAUGAGAACCUAUGAGUGAAUAUUGUUUGUGGGAAUUUUCUGUGUAUUCUUGUCCAUGUAGGAGGCCAUAUUUAUAGUACAAUAUAUAUCCUUGUAGGUUAAGGAACGUAGUAACCCCUAAUUCAAUUUACAGUAGGAAAUCAUGAAUUAAAGUGAAUCAAUUACAUUUAAUAUAGGAAUUUUUGGCUUGUGAGAAAAAUAAAUGCAGGUCCACAAGUCAUGCGAAUAUAUACAACCAUACUAUUUUUCAAAUUUGUAUCAACUUUCUCACAUGGAAGAUGUCUACAACUUUUACAAAUAUUAAUGAGUGUCAUUAGCUAAAUAAUAUACAGAUAGAAGUUGCACAAAAACAUCGUUUGCAACUAAUUGAUGGCUCUUCCAACGAAAAAGCUUAUAGUUAGAGGGGAAAAGAAACAAAAAAGCUUACCUUGGACAAAAGUAGAUAGUAAUUUGGUUUGAUAAUGUUAGUGGUGCGGUUGUAAGCUUCCAACCGAACAAUAUAUAAAUUGGGUCGAAACGAAAAUGGAGUACAUAAAACUUAACCCACUUUUAAUCAUUCUCAACAUCACCAUUUACUUGAUCCACCAAACAAGGCUCCUUCUGUUCCAUUAUUCGAAAUCUCAAACUUGACAUAACCACAAUCAACCCUCAAUAGCAUUCUCUCUCUCUCUCUCUCUCUCUCUCUCUCUCUCUCUCUCUCUCUCUCUCUCUCAAUCUGUUCCACCCAAAAACCAUGCCUUGCUAAAUAAGAAUUCAAUAGUGAGGGCCUUAUAUCUAAGGCCCUUAUAUGAUCACUUAGCUGUUAGAUCAAAUUGGUUAGCCGUUGGAUCAAAUUGGUUAGUUUGAUCUAACGGUUAAGAGAUAUGACUUCAUGGCUUUAAUUUGAGUUGUGGGUCCAGUCAAACAAUAUGGGUAGAAUAUUUUUCAGGUUGUAUUUCAUUCUCCAAAAGAAGGUAUUUAUAGUAUAAGGAUGUAACCCUAGUAGGGUCAAACUAGAAAACAAGAUAAAGACCUAAUUACACAAUAUCUGUACAAAAAGGAAAGAAAUAUAAUCCUAAUAAACUGUGAAAUAAAUAUCCUAAUUAAGCUAGGAUCUCGCUAACACUCCCUCUCAAGUUGGAGCAAAGAUGUCACGUAUGCCCAACUUGUCAAGCGUGUUGAGAAAGGCCGUAGUAGACAUAGUUUUCGUAAGAACAUCUGCUAGUUGAUACUCGGAUGAUAUAAACGGAAAAGAAAUAAUUUCAGCAUCCAAUUUCUCUUUAACAAAAUGUCGAUCAACCUCCACGUGCUUUGUACGAUCAUGUUGCAUAGGGUUAUGCGCAAUUGCAGUUGCAGCUUUAUUAUCACAAUACAAAUCCAUGGGUUUAGGGGAAGAGAGAGAGAGUGUGUGUGAUGGUUGUGGGGUGGUGGCUGUGGGAAGGUGAGUUGUUGAGAGAGAGAUGGAGACUGCGAUGGAUAAAUGGGUGGUCGUGGGUUUGGGGGUGUGUUGUGAAAGGGAAGGCAACGACGGUGGGGAAGAGGGAUGGGUUGCGAAUUAGUCUUGGGGGUGAGUUACAGGUGGGGAAGGGGUGAGUUGCAGGUGGGAAAUGGGUAGUCAGGUUGGGGAAGAAAAAGAGAGAGGGGAUAGGGGAUCUGUAGGUAGGAUAGGUUUUUGUUUUUGUUCCUUUUUCUUUAAUUUUUUCUAAAAAAAUAAAUUUAUUUUUAAUGUUUUAACUGAAAAUUAGAUGAAAUGUUAAUGAUUUAGACGGUAGGGGGGAAAUUGGUGAAAAAGUUCAUAUCCUUAAUUUUGUAAAAAAAAAAAGGAUAGUGGGUCAAUUAAAACCAAGGUACAAGUUCAAGGGGCAAAUCACUAGUACACCCUUCUUAAUACAAUACCCUAUAAAAUGUCAAAUUUACCCUUAUAUUUGACAGGCAUUUGGAUGGAAUUGUAAAAAAGCCAACAGCAGGGGUGAAAUUGGCGAAUAAAUUUAUUACAAGGGCUAAAUUGGCUGAAAAAUUAAUUCAGGGUGGAGAUUUUGACAAGCAUAAUAGUUCAGGGGGGAUUCGAAAGUUUACCCUUAAAAAAAGUUAAAAAUUUGCCCUGAACAUUUGUUAUCUACUAUCAUUUGCAUUUUUUAUGCACGCCAUAUUAAUGAUUCUUUCUUCUUUGUAGAUGUGGAUUGGGACAAAACAAUGUGCCCAUAACCUUGCAAUAUGAAUCUUCUUUGGAUAUUUGUUUAACCAAAUUUACUAAAUUAGCCUCUUUAUUUAAUUAUUUCUCUUCUCAAAUAUUUAGUACAUUGUAAAUGUUGUUUGUGAAUGCGAGCGUAUAUCUUGACAUCUUAGUAACUUUUUGAGUAUGCUAUCGAUUUUAGGCUAUAAAUAGUGCUUGGAAAGAAGCAUGCGCAUCCACAACUCCGAACAUGGUUGUGAUAGCAAAAGGAAACUACCUGGCUGGUGCAGUGAAGUUUCAAGGGCCCUGCAAAGCGCCGGUUAGCGUUCGAGUUAAAGGAACCCUGCAGGCUCUUGCAGAGCCAGAAAAGCUCAAGUCACAAGAUGGUUGGGUCGUUUUCCAAAAUAUUGAUGGGUUAACAGUCUCAGGAGGUGGCACUUUUGAUGGCCAAGGAUCAAUAGCUUAAUCCAAAAAUGAUUAUGCCAAAACUGGAAAAUGCAACUCACUGCCAAUAUUAAGUUUUUUAAAUUUGAAGUGCACGUUUUUAUUUAUUUAUCAAUCUUGUGUGCUAGAAACGGAGGCUAACAAACAGAGUUUGCUCAAUUGGGUUCCUUGAAUGCAGAACAUAAGAUUCACAGGGCUCACCAAUUCACACAUUCAAGACAUAACAUCCUUGAACAGCAAGCUGUUUCACAUAAACGUCAUAAACUGCAAAAAUGUGACACUUGAACAUGUGAUCAUCACCACCCCUGGUAAAGCAUGCCUUAGAUAAGGCCCUCACUCAGUUCUUAUAAACGAGGCUAGGUCCCUUAACUUUUCAAUGUGAAUAUAAAACGAAUUUUCAAUAGUUAUUUCUCUUGUCACCACUGCUUUGUUACAACUUAUGGUCAAGAAUUUAUUAGUUUGAUUAGUGCGUUAGGAAACCAUUUUUGGUUUAUGAAAAAUAAAUUUUGUGUGUGUAUUUUUUUUUUAAUCUUUGCACCAAAUUGGAUGACAACAGGUUUAGUACUUUUGGUUUAUGAGUCACCCAUGUCAUAAAUCUUCUCUUUCUAAUCUGACAUAGUCUUGGAAGAAAAAAUCUUUUGCCCAAAUUGGAAACUGAGCGAAGAGCCAUUGUAGGUAAUUCAUGUUCUAAAGCUGAGCAGCUUAAUUAAUUACUAAUUAUAGGAUGGUUGACCAACAUUCAUGUUCUAAAGUGCGAGAAAGUUGAAUUCAACGGAUUUACCGUCUCAGCACCUAAGGAAAGCAUGAACACAGAUGGAAUUCACAUCGGUCGUUCAACUGGGAUCAACAUCACUGCCACAACCAUCGGAACUGGGGAUGAUUGUAUUUCGAUCGGUGACGGUACCAAGGACCUCACCGUGACCAACGUUACUUGCGGGCCUGGCCACGGCAUAGCCAUCGGGAGCCUUGGAAGGUACCCAAAGGAAGAACCCGUGUCCGGCAUCAAUAUUAAGAAAUGCGCACCUUGACUGAUACAACGAAUGGUGUGAGGAUCAAAACAUGGCAUGCUUCCCCAAAAGAUAGCACUGCCUCGGAUAUUCACUUUGAGGAUAUUACCAUGGUUAAUGUUGGUAACCCUAUCCUCAUUGACAAAGAGUACUGCCCAUGGAACGAAUGCAAAAAAGGGGUAUCUAUCUAUAACAAUUUAUUAACACCGUAUAUAUGUUCCUUGUUAAUCAAGUCAUCAUUUACUUAAUCUUUAAAAAGUUUUAAAUUAAUCAAUUAAUGAAUGGUUUUGUGUAGGUUCCUUCCAAAGUUAAGAUCAGCAAUGUUAGCUUCAAGAACAUCAAGGGCACAUGUACUGACCCAGUUGCUGUGAAGCUUGCAUGCAGCCCAGGCCUGCCAUGUGAGAAUGUGGAAUUAUGUGACAUUGAUCUCAAGUACACUGGAGACAAAGGUCCUAUUACCUUUGUGUGUUCUAAUGUCAAGCCGACAAUUACUCGCGUGGCACAACCUCUUGCUUGCGCUACUAUCAGUGCUGCUCCUGCUCCUGCUUGAUCUAACAAGCACAAACCAUGCUGCUGAUGUUUCUUCAGAGAUACAUUGGUGUUGUGCUCUUCGAUUUUGUGCUAAGUGUACUUGGUGUUUUCAUCUAAGAAGGGGAAAAUAUCUCAGUGCUGAUCACGAAGGCUGGGUUCAGGCCAACUGCUUGAAGGCUUCUGAAAGGGGCACUUUGUCAGUGCUAUGCCUACUUCUCAGAAGUCGUGGAGGAAUCGGGGGUGCUUUUGUCCGGCGAUUGGGUGUCUCCAUCGGGACAGCCCGUCCGUUUCCACAUCCCUACGACCUUCCAAAUUGUCGGUAGGUCAGAUUACCGAUUGGUAGGUGGCCAAUUGCUUUCUUUAUGAUUUAAACCUUAUUUUGUUUCUGUUUUUGUAGGCAAACAAAAGCAACCGAGCCCCACGUAAUCAGAGAUUCAGCAGGUUGAUAGAGUUAGGUUGAAAGUCCCUACCAUUGGGAGGGUGUACCCCAAGUUUUUGUUCACCGAGAACCUUAUCGAAGCCAAACUUGCCAGCCAUGUUGAGAGUAAGUGGACUUGUUUUUGCGUUCUCAUUCAUAUUAUAUCAAUGCCUUACCGAUCUCCUUCUUGUGCAGUGACGGAUGCCAGAAGAGCCGCCAAAGCCAAGAGGAUGAAUGAGUCCUCAAAGAGGCGCCUCAUGAUGGGCAUUGAACGGAAGAAAAGAUUCGGCAUGUGGAGGCAGUGCCAGUUCCGUCGGCUGAGGUUGAUCUAGAGGAUUAGACCCUUGCCGACCGUCUUCGGCAGCUCAACGUCGGGUCGGAGCCCAGCGGUGCAGCCGAGGCUAAUUUGGCAUCGAGAAGAGUGCUAACCACCGAGGCCGCUGCUUUCUAGGCAGCCAGAAAAAGGCCGUUUAUGGUAGACCUUGAGGCAGAGCUAGUGCCAAAGCGCGGUCGGCAGAUGGAGGAGCAGAGGGCUGUCUUGGCUGUUGAGGACGAUGACAAUCCUGCCGAUCCGGUCACCCUCACAUGCCAAUCGAAGACACUCCAAUUUGCGAAUCAUGUGAUCCUUGGUUUGCAAAUGGAGUUGUCGGAGAUAGAGGAGCUACCGAAGAAACUCCUUCGGGAAGAAGCCGGUCGAGCCUUCCGUCUCCAGGCCUCCGUAAGUUUUUGUCUUGUUUUUAUUUCCCACUGUGCCACUGUUGGCUUCUUAUUGUGCUGACCUUUUGCUUUGCUUUCCAGGCGUCGAUGGACAUGUGACUGUGCAUGAAGCGGGCCAUCGUCGCUGCCGAGUGUGCCAAGAAAGCAUACGACGAUGGCUGUGCCAAAGUAGCCGAGGCAGGCAAGGCUCUCCAGGACCACGCUCACAUGCUGAAGGAUAAGCAGGCUACCAAACGGCAAGUUCAGGCUUCUGAGGCCAAACUGGGAGAGAUGAGAGUGGCUCUUGGGGCUGCGAUGAUGGCGGCAAGGGAUGCCGAGGCGGCUAAGGAGGCGGUGUAGGUGGCCUUGGAGGAUUUCGAGCAUUCUAAGGUGGCAUAAAUUGAAGCUGUUGUUCGGGAGGGUUCCAUGUUGCUGUGAGAGGUUACCAUUCAUCAGAAGAGUUCACCGUCAUGCUAGACAGGGAAGUGGGCUCGGAGAUGGCUGAUCUGCUCUACAGAUUCAAACGGUACAACCCCGGGCAGAAGCUGAACUUGAACUUUAUUGCCGAUCCUCCUCCCCUUCCUGAAGGUAUUACCAAGAGAUGAUCGAGGACUAUGAGGGGGAGGACGCUCCGGAAGAAGCCUGUGCUGUCGGGGUCCCCGCUACUACCGACGUUGCGAAUGAGGAGGCUACCGCUUGAGCUUUAGCCUCAUAGCUUUCUUUAUAUAUUUUGUAUCUGCCAUAAGGCAGCUCUUCUGAACACGUUGAUGCCGAGGGCAUCUUUUAAUUUUGUUUAAUAACUUGUCUAACGACCAAGUGAUCACACUGUCGGUAGAUUUUAGAGUUUAAUCAUCUUAAUUGCUGUGGGCUAAAUGAAAGAUUGACUGCCAAGUAACUUUCCAACGGUAAGGAGACUUAAGUGUUUUUCAUUGACGAAGGCUAAUAAAGGAUCUACUUGCAAUUGGCAAGUGCAGGUAGGAUCGGUAGUACCGAACUCCAGCUUAUCUGCUGCCGUAGGCUAAGUAAAUGCUUAAUUUAUAAGCGUAGGGUAAUACAUGACCGAUAGUCUCUACCGUAUCUUUUUAAUUAACGAAAAAUAAAUAAACACACCGAAGGUUGUGAAUAUGUAUAAGCCGAAGGUUUUUUCAUUAACCGUUGCCGAAGGCAUGAAUACAGGUUCAUUGUAUUACAAUUUCGCCCUACCGUAGGCUAGGUGACUUCAUUUAAAAUAGUAUUUCAAAUGAUCUACGUUCAUAGGAUGACCGAGGGUUUUGCCGUUGGAGUCUCUUAGCCGAUAGGUUCUCGAUCGAAGGAUGCCGAUAAUCUCAUAAGGUCCCUCCCAGGAAGGUCCGAGUGUCCCUUCCGUAGGAUUCUUGGUUGCCAGAAAGACUUUUUGCAUGACCCAGUCCCCAAUUCAGAAAGAGCAGGUUCUGAGCCUUAAGUCGUAAUACUGAGAGACGUGCUGUUUGUAUGCUUCAUUCCGAAGGUUGGCUUGCGCUCGACGUUCUUCGAUUAAGUCGAGGCUUAGUGCGAGGGCUUCCUCGUUUGUCUUCGGAGUGAAGCUUGCCUUUCGGUAGAGGGCUUGCCGAUCUCCACGGGGACCACGGCUUUAGAGCCGAAGGCGAGAGAAAAAGGGGUUUCUCUGGUUAACGUUCGGUAGGAUGUCCGAAUGGCCCAUAGUGCUUCCAGAAGUUUCCUUGGCCAAGUUCCCUUGGCUUUGUCGAGCUGCCGUUUUAGCAGUUUCUUAAUGAUUUUGUUUAUUGCUUCGACCUGAUCGUUCGACUGGGGGUGAGUUGGCGAAGCGAAGAACAAAUUGAUCUUGAGGCGAGUGUAGAAUUCCCUAAAGAGUUUCGAGUCAAACUGCCUGCCAUUAUCGGUGAUGAUUGCAUAGGGGACAUCGAAUUGGCAGCAAAUGUGAGUCCAGAUGAAGUCUUCCAUCCUAGCUGCCGUUAUGGCUGCCAGAGCUUCGACCUCCACCUAUUUGGUGAAAUAGUCCACAGCAACCACGACAUACUUGACCUGGCUUUUGCCUUGCGGCAUUGGACCGAUCAAGUCCAGUCUCCAUUGGGCGAAAGGCCACGGGCUUACGAUCGGUGUUAAAGGCACGGCAGGGAUGUGAGGUAUGUUGCAGAAGCGUUGACAUUUGUCGCACCUCUUUACUAGUGUGUUUGCGUCCUGGUGCAUAGUCGGCCAAUAAUACCAUUGUCGAAAGGCCUUAUGUGCGAGCGAUCGAGAUCCAGAAUGGUUGCCACAUACGCCCCCGUGGAUUUCAAGAAGGACGUAGUCCCAUUUUUUCGGUGAUGAUGUGUUUCAGAUACAGUGUAAUAUAGGUGCGUUUGUAAAGGACGUCGUUGAUAACUGUGUAUCUUGCCGAUCGGUACUGCAGCUUUUGGGCCUGUGACUUGUCGGAGGGCAGUGUACCGUUUGUUAGGAGACCGUAGAUGAGAGACAUCCACUUGUUUUCGUACCGUACGGUACAUACCUCCGAAGUUGUCGUACUAGCUUGAGAUAGGAUCUCCACCGGCACCUUUCUGCCAACCUUGUUAUUGAUUGUCGAAGCUAGUCAUGCCAGUGCAUCGGCAUGACUGUUUUUCAUCCUGGGGAUUUGCCGAAUCUCAUAAGCCUGAAAUGCUUUGAGGAGUCAGUGUGUGGUUGAUAGGUAGGCUGUCAUGGAGGCAUCCCUAGCUGCGAAGUCUGCCGUUAUGUGAUUCACUAUGAGCUGGGAGUCACUAUGGAUGUUGAUUUGUUUUGCACUCAUGAUCUUGUCUAGCCGAAGGCCGGCCAAGAGAGCUUGAUAUUCAGCUUCGUUGUUGGAGGUUCUGAAGUUAUAUCGGAGGGCAUAUUCGACCUUGGCUCUGUCUGGAGUAGUUAACACCAGACCAGCUCCACAACCUUGUUCAUUUGCCGAGCCGUCGACAUGCAGAAUCCAUAUGGGAACAGAAGGGUGGAAGUGUUCGGCGGGUUGUGCCUGUGGUGUUGGGGUUUCGUCCCUGGGGUCGUAAAUGGGCCCGUUACCGUUCAGUGCCCCCAAGACAAACAUGGUCUCCUUGGGAGGUUUAGUGGCUACUGACCUUAGUGCCGUCGCAUAGCAUGUUCGUGCACUGAGUUGAUCUCCUCUGACAGCGCCUAUGCCGUUGUACGUUGGGAAUUUCAUCAACAACAUAUGGGGGGACAUGUGUGCCUUGAUUCUGGUAAGCGUCGUUCGUCCGACUAUGACGUUAUAUGCCGUUGGGUAGUUGACGAUAAGAAAUUGGUCAUAUGUCAUUGUUUUCCAAGGGGCAACACCGAAGGCGAUGGGUAGACUGACACUGCCGACUGGCUGGACCAGAUCCCUGGAGAAACUAAGUAGUGGUGUUAUCUGCCGAUUGACCUGGCUAUCGGCUACUCCCAUUCCUCUGAAAGCAUCGGCGAAAAUUACAUUUACCGAACUCCAGUGUCGAUCAGUACCCGUCCCACAUCGUAGUCAGCGAUUUCAACUCGAAUGAUCAUUGGGUCAUCAUGGGGGUAAAUGAUCCCUUCUUCCUCUUCACAAAAUGUGAUGGGUUCCCACCCUACCUUUGGAACCUUGCGGUGUCGAUCAGCCUCUAUGCCGAAGACUUGAGGGUAGUGCGCAGCCCGUUUAUAUUGUUUUACCGAUCAAUUGGACAUACCCGCCAGUGUGGGACCUCUACUGAUGGUGAUGAUCAUGUUGAUCUGUCGAUUCCCGUUCGGCACCGGUGCUUGCCAUAGUCUGGCGAUGUACUGAUCCAGCUUCCCUUCACGAAUUAGAUGUUCGACGAUUUUUGUAAAGACCCAAACCUAAAAUUCACAUGUAAUUAGUAAUUUAUUAUGCAGAAAGACAAUUUUGCCCUUUGACUCACUUAUGAACUCAACGUUGACUUUUUGACCGAAAAGGAAUUUGACAAUUCCACAUACACCGUUGUGUAGAGCACGACGAUACGAGUUCAUAGACACGAAGUAAGCUCGAAUCGGAGUUGUAACGAAGAAAAUACGAUUAAAAUAUCACGAAGGGCAAAAUUGUAAAUAAGAAAAUCAGAAUUUUUAUAAAAACCUCAACUUCUCUUUCUCUUUCCCUCUCUCUCUCUCUCCCUCCCGAUAGUUCUAGAAAACCUGUCGGGCAGCCACCUUCCAAGCCACCCCAACGCCACCUCACGCCACCCCGACCCAGCAGCACCGGCCAGCUCCCGCCAUCAACCCCAGCCCGUCCGCCGCCCCUGCUGCUGUCUGGAGCAUCCGGAAACUGCUGGAAAACGCAGCAGUUUUGGCAGAUUUUCCAACCUCAGUUUCUCCCUCAUCCGGCCACCAAAUCAGUCGUGCGAGGUAUCGAUUUCUAGCUAUUUUUCGUGUUCUAACUGCUGGUUGGCUGGGUUUCGAUCAAUUUUUGCUGUAGAUCACUCGAUUUUCAAAUUGAAAUUCGGCCGACUUUCGGCCUCCGUGUUCGGCCAUUUCCGGCCACUUUUUGGGGUAGGUCCAAGAACAAAAGUGACGCCAAAUGGGGUGUUUUACCUAGGAUAGGAGUUUGGAGUCUUGGUUCCGAGAUUUUUCGGCCACUCGGUAUCGCUUUAGACACCCGAAUCUGCCCGCGCGUGCUGGGGCGCGUGGGCGAGGGUGGUGGAGUAACUCUGCCGGGUUUAAUACUGUUGAGCCGUUGGAUCGUAAUCAAUUUUAGAUAUGUUACUCUAGAUAAUUUUAGAAACGUGUAGGAUUCGACGGAUUGUGAAUCGGAGACCCGGAUACUCCGAAAACGCGAACCCUAGGGCUAGGGUUUAGAAAUUACAGGAUUGUGAUCAAUCCGACCGUCCGAUUGACACCAAUACCUUCGGGACAUGUGUCCUAAAUAUAUUGGACCUUCUAGCGGCAUCCGGAUCAUAUUAUACCCGUGGGGUUCCGGAUUGACUUUUUGGACUUUAGCACUUUUUGAGUCACAAGAUACCGCUAAACGAUCCCACGUGGAAGGAAAGCUGUUAUGGGCAUAGGGAUCACUUUAAAUUGACGCACGUACUUUUAGGAGCCGGGGGUAGGGUUUUUAAUUUAAUACUAUAUUGUAUUAAUAGAAUAUUAUGGUCAUUGAAUCAGGCACCCGGGCACCAGUUGACCCGCAGGAGGGACCUUCAAGAGGUCCAGCGAGCUCAGACUAUCAGUGAGUGGACUCUUUGUUUUUAUAAAUGAAUUUAAUCAGUUCAGUUUCAGUUAAGCAGUUCAGUUUCAGUUAUAAGCUGUUUUAUGUUGUUAAAUAUUUUAUGUUACAUGCUGCCGAAUGAAGUUUCCUUUUAAGAAUAUAGGAAAAGAUAUUCUCGUUAAUUAUCAGAUAAAUGGCAGCAGAAUUUUAAAGGUUACAGAAAGUUAAUUAUUCAUAAGAUUUUCUUCAGAAACUUUAUAUUUUCUUAAACCACCUUGUACCCAGUUAUCACAUGUUGCCUUCGGAUUAUAUUUGUUGCCUUCGGUUUAGUCAGCAUGCUUGACAGUUGCCCCACGAGUUCCUUGGUACUCGACCUCGUGUGGAGCGAGUAAUGCGGAUAAAGGUUGAUUGCGGUCUCCUGAAUCCUGCGAGUUGCGGCUCAGACUGACCUCGUGUCACUGAGACCUGCGAGUAUGUGUCACCCAUGGUGAUGCAAGGAAUUGACGGAUAUAAGGAUUUGACGGAAAUAGGUGUACACCUAGGUGAUAGUUUUCAACUAUUUUCAAAUGUAUAGUUAUAUACAUGCAUUGAUUUCAGAAAUAAAGAAAAUAAGCUAGUUUGUAUAACUGUUUUUUCAGUGGGGUUAGUAUGUUCAUAUGGUAUUUUCUAAACUUUGUUUUUGGGUCCACUCACCCUUCUUGUUGUUUUGCGCCCCCAGGCAGUAGACGUGCACAGGAAUCCACCACCGGGCCACUUCCCAUCUUCCGUGCCUUUCUUUGAUGUAGGAUUUGUAUUUUGUACAAAGAUUAACUCUUUUGUAAAUUCUUAGUAGUCGCUCUGAUGUUUUGCCCUAGACUGAGCUUUGAUCUCUUGGCAUGUGUAUAUAUAUGUAUGCUGGCAGUUGGUUAUAUAUAUAUACUUGUUUUGACAGGUGUAAAGAUUUUGGUAUUGAGCCAGAUACAAGGGAAACUCUGCCGGUUUUUCGGUAGAAGUCAACCUUGUUAUUUUUAUCAUGUUUUGUAUAGAAGGGCAAAUAGGUCAUUUGUGCCCGACAUUCGCCAGGUGUCGGACACGCACAGGGUCUGGCUCGGAUUCCAAAGUGGAAUUUGGAUCGGGUCCUGACAAUUUUCCUCAGGCUUAUGCACUCUUCAGUGUCAUGACUGUUGUGCUGGUGGUAUCGGCAGAAUUUGCCGGUAUCCCGAUUGUCCUGUCGAUUGGGCUUUCGACGGUUCGGCUUGGGUAUUAUCUCAUUUUCGUUCAUCAAAACGGCCUCGUAGGUGGUAUUCAGCAGGGUGAAUACUUCCUGACCGUGGUCGUAAUUCGGUAAGGGCGCUCGGUGGUCAUUGUGACCGUAUUGUCCUUUUCCUUUCUUUGAGUGCCCCUGUCGAGCAUCUCGGUCAUCUUUCCAUUUGUUCCCUGUCGAGAAUUCUCCAGUUCUUUUAGGGUUUGGGAGUGCUUCUUCCCGAAGCGCUUAUGCCAGUAGCGCUUAGGACAUAAGCACUUCUACAAAGAAGCAAUUUGUCGUUUGGAUGUCACAUUUAAAAGUGCUUUACACUACAUAAAAGAACUUUUGAUAUUUUGUUAAGUGUUUGGCUGACACAAUAAAAGAGCUUUGAUUUAUCUGGAACUCUCCUAAAUUGUGAGUCUUGUGGACUUAUGAUAUCACUAUCCAUGCGACAAACGACAUCUAAAAUUAUCCCAAACCACCUUGACACCAUCCGCACCAGAAUGUUGAAAUUGGACCAUUCUAUUAGUGAAAGCAUUGAAAAAUGUAAUGCAUUGCCAUAGUGCAACCCAGAACACAGCUUCUUUCUAAAGUCGAUACAAAUUGAGAGGGAGUGCUUGGUGGCACUCUUUUGGGGGUUUUGAGCGCGCAAUGCUUGUCCAAAACACUGCAGCCAACAAAUCAAAAGGGUAGGCUUCAGGGCAAGUUUUUUGGAUUUGUGAGAGGCCUUGCUUGAUCAUUGCACUGGAGAAUUUGAAAGUGGUUGUGCUCAUUUUCUUUUCUGGUAAAGGGGUCUUUGCUGCCAUAGACUUGACUUCAUAAUAAGCCUCUGCUGAUUUUGUUUUUAUUAUGUCUUGAUCAACGGGUCUGCCUCCGAGGGCUGAUGACUCCCCGACGAGAAGCAGGUGGGCAAAUUCAUUUAUCUCCAAAGCCAGGAUUGAUUCUUAUGUUAAUGCUUUUUUAAUCAAGUUUGGUGCUACAUAUAAUAAUGUUUGUUUUCAAUAAAAUCGAGCAGACAAUAUUAUAUAAGCAAGGGGCAUACAAGAAUUCAGAACUCAUCUCCAUUCUCUAGCAAGAAAGAGAGAGGAAAAAAAAGAAAGAAAGGGUAUUUUGGCAUUUAAAAAAAAUUAAAUAAAGGUAUUUUCGGCAUUUUAAAAGUUUCAUUGAAGGGAGCCAAGUGCUUCUUGUGUUUUUGUGCUGCAGCGCUUUUAAGAAGAAGCACCUCUCAAGUGCUUCUUCCAAAACCACUCCAAGUGCUUUUGUAUCUCACCCAAAGCACUUUUGCAAUUUUUGCCAAACACCAUUUUUAAAAGAUAGAAGCACUUUUCGUUGCUCCAAAACAACUCCCAAACGAGCCUAUGAACACAGUCUUCCUAGAGAAUGUCGUUGUACUGUUGGAUAUCAGAGUCACACUACAUCCUACUCGGACGACGGAAGUGUAUGUCUUGCCAUAAGCCUUGGAGAUUAUUGUAAUAAGUUUCAAUCGAGCCACCUGCUUGUCGCAAUCGUUGGCUUUGCCGUUUAAGGUUGUACACUUGAGGGGUGUACGUGCCAUCAAAGUAGAUCAUGGCAAUCGCAUCCCAUAUUGCUUUUGCCGUAGGAAAUCAAAUAAAGGUGCUAAUCAAGCGAGGGUCCAAAGAAUUGAUUAGCCAGUCUUUCACAACUGCGUUUUGGGUACGCCAGCGGUUGAAACUUGGGUUGGUCUAAGUAGGUGUCCCAACUUGUCUUUGCCGGCAACAUACAUCUUGACAACUUGGGACCAAAAGGGGUAGUUGGAGCCAUCCAACUUGAUUCCAAUAUGUGCGGAAGCUUCAUAGGUAAUAGUCAAGGUCGGGUAUACCAUACUAAAAUAUGAGAACCUAUGAGAGAAUAUUGUUUGUGGGAAUUUUCUGUGUAUUCUUCUCCAUAUAAGAGGCCAUAUUUAUAGUACAAUAUAUAUCCUUUGUAGGUUAAGGAACGUAAUAACCCCUAAUUCAAUUUACAGUAGGAAAUCAUGAAUUAAAGUAAAUCAAUUACAUUUAAUAUAGAAAUUUUUGGCGUGUAAGAAAAAUAAAUGCAGGUCCACAAGUCAUGCAAAUAUAUACAACCAUACUAUUUUUCAAAUUUGUAUCAACUUUCUCACAUGGAAGAUGUCUACAACUUUUACAAAUAUUAAUGAGUCUCAUUAGCUACACAAUAUACAGAUAGAAGUUGCACAAAAACAUCGUUUGCAACUAAUUGAUGGCUCUUUCAACGAAAAAGCUUAUAGUUAGAGGGGAAAAGAAACAAAAAAGCUUGCCUUGGACAAAAGUAGAUAGUAAUUUGGUUUGAUAAUGUUAGUGGUGCGGUUGUAAGCUUCCAACCGGACAAUAUAUAAAUUGGGUCGAAACGAAAAUGGAGUACAUAAAACUUAACCCACUUUUAAUCAUUCUCAACAUCACCAUUUAUUUGAUCCACCAAACAAGGCUCCUUCUGUUCCAUUAUUCGAAAUCUCAAACUUGACAUAACCACAAUCAACCCUCAAUAGCAUUCUCUCUCUCUCUCUCUCUCUCUCUCUCUCUCUCUCUCUCUCUCUCUCUCUCUCUCUCUCUGUUCCACCCAAAAACCAUGCCUUGCUAAAUAAGAAUUCAAUAGUGAGGGCCUUAUAUCUAAGGCCCUUAUAUGAUCGCUUAGCUGUUGGAUCAAAUUGGUUAGCUGUUGGAUCAAAUUGGUUAGCCGUUGGAUCAAAUUGGUUAGUUUGAUAUAACGGUUAAGAGAUAUGACCUCGUGGCUUUAAUUUGAGCUGUGGGUCCAAUCAAACAAUAUGGGUAGAAUAUUUUUCAGGUUGUAUUUCAUUCUCCAAAAGAAGGUAUUUAUAGUAUAAGGAUGUAACCCUAGUAGGGUCAAACUAGAAAACAAGAUAAAGACCUAAUUACACAAUAUCUGUACAAAAAGGAAAGAAAUAUAAUCCUAAUAAACUGGAAAAUAAAUAUCCUAAUUAAGCUAGGAUCUCGCUAACACUCCCUCUCAAGUUGGAGCAAAGAUGUCACGUAUGCCCAACUUGUCAAGCGAGUUGAGAAAGACCAUAGUAGACAUAGUUUUCGUAAGAACAUCUGCUAGUUGAUACUCGGAUGAUAUAAACGGAAAAGAAAUAAUUUCCGCAUCCCAUUUCUCUUUAACAAAAUGUCGAUCAACCUCCACGUGCUUUGUACGAUCAUGUUGCAUAGGGUUAUGCGCAAUUGCAAUUGCAGCUUUAUUAUCACAAUACAAAUCCAUGAGUUUGGGGGAAGAGAGAGAGAGAGUGUGUGAUGGUUGUGGGGUGGUGGUUGUGGGAAGGUGAGUUGUUGAGAGAGAGAUGGAGACUGCGAUGGAUAAAAGGGUGGUCGUGGGUUUGGGGGUGUGUUGUGAAAGGGAAGGCAGCGACGGUGGGGAAGGGGGAUGGGUUGCGAAUUAGUCUUGGGGGUGAGUUGCAGGUGGGGAAGGGGUGAGUUGCAGGUGGGAAAUGGGUAGUCAGGUUGGGGAAGAAAAAGAGAGAGGGGAUAGGGAAUCUGUUGGUAGGAUAGGUUUUUGUUUUUGUUCCUUUUUCUUUAAUUUUUUUCUAAAAAAAUUAAUUUAUUUUUAAUAUUUUAACUGAAAAUUAGAUGAAAUGUUGAUGAUUUAGACGGUAGGGGGAAAUUGGUGAAAAAGUUCAUAUCCUUAAUUUUGUAAAAAAAAAAAAAAGGAUAGUGGGUCAAUUAAAACCAAGGUACAAGUUCAAGGGGCAAAUCACUAGUACACCCUUCUUAAUACAAUACCCUAUAAAAUGUCAAAUUUACCCUUAUAUUUGACGGGCAUUUGGAUGGAAUUGUAAAAAAGCUAACAGCAGGGGUGAAAUUGGCGAAUAAAUUUAAUACAAGGGCUAAAUUGGCUGAAAAAUUAAUUCAGGGUGGAGAUUUCGACAAGCAUAAUAAUUCAGGGGGGAUUCGAAAGUUUACCCUUAAAAAAAGUUAAAAAUUUGCCCUGAACAUUUGUUAUCUACUAUCAUCUACAUUUUUUAUGCACGACAUAUUAAUGAUUCUUUCUUCUUUGUAGAUGUGGAUUGGGACAAAACAAUGUGCCCAUAACCUUGCAAUAUGAAUCUUCUUUGGAUAUUUGUUUAACCAAAUUUACUAAAUUAGCCUCUUUAUUUAAUUAUUUCUCUUCCCAAAUAUUUAGUACAUUGUAAAUGUUGUUUGUGAAUGCGAGCGUAUAUCUUGACAUCUUAGUAACUUUUUGAGUAUGCUAUCGAUUUUAGGCUAUAAAUAUUGCUUGGAAAGAAGCAUGCGCAUCCACAACUCCGAACAUGGUUGUGAUAGCAAAAGGAAACUACCUGGCUGGUCCAGUGACGUUUCAAGGGCCCUGCAAAGGGCCAGUUAGCGUUCGAGUUAAAGGAACCCUGCAGGCUCUUGCAGAGCCAGAAAAGCUCAAGUCACAAGAUGGUUGGGUCGUUUUCCAAAAUAUUGAUGGGUUAACAGUCUCAGGAGGUGGCACUUUUGAUGGCCAAGGAUCAAUAGCUUAAUCCAAAAAUGAUUAUGCCAAAACUGGAAAAUGCAACUCACUGCCAAUAUUAAGUUUUUUUAAAUUUGAAGUGCACGUUUUUAUUUAUUUAUCAAUCUUGUGUGCUAGAAACGGAGGCUAACAAAUAGAGUUUGCUCAAUUGGGUUCCUUGAAUGCAGAACAUAAGAUUCACAGGGCUCACCAAUUCACACAUUCAAGACGUAACAUCCUUGAACAGCAAGCUGUUUCACAUAAACGUCAUAAAUUGCAAAAAUGUGACACUUCAACAUGUGAUCAUCACCACCCCUGGUAAAGCAUGCCUUAGAUAAGGCCCUCACUCACUCCUUAUAAACCCAGGCUAGGUCCCUUAACUUUUCAAUGUGAAUAUAAAACGAAUUUUCAAUAGUUAUUUCUCUUGUCACGACUGCUUUGUUACAAAUUAUGGUCAAGAAUUUAUUAGUUUGAUUAGUGCUUUAGGAAACAAUUUUUGGUUUAUGAAAAAUAAAUUUUGUGUGUGUAUUUUUGUUAAUCUUUGCACCAAAUUGGAUGAUAACAGGUUUAGUACUUUUGGUCUAUGAGUCACCCAUGUCAUAAAUCCUCUCUUUCUAAUCUAACAUAGUCUUGGAAGAAAAAAGUUUUUGUCCAAAUUGGAAACUGAGUGAAGAGCCAUUGUAGGUAAUUCAUGUUCUAAAGCGGAGCAGCUUAAUUAAUUACUAAUUAUAGGAUUAUUUUAGGACUCAAGGACCGGCCAAAAACUAGUCCACGCGCGGCCACACUCACCGGCAGCGCGUGGGUGUCCAAAGUGAUUCCGGCAAUCGGAAAAUCUCCAAACCGCCGGUCAAGACUUAUACCUACAUGAUCUGCACAUAGAGUGGAGCAACUUUUGAUCAUGGACCUACCCCCAAAAAGUCGACGGAAGCGGCCCGAAUCGGAGGCCAAAAUCCGGCCAAACUUCCAUCACUUAUUUACGUCUCAAAACGCAGAAAUUUCUCGUAACCAAUACAACCAGCAGCUAGAACACCUCGAGAGGUUGAGAAAGCAUACCUGGAUCGACGGAAAUGGUGGCCGGAAACGUUCAAACGAGCGUCAGAAAAUUCUCAUAAAAACCUCCCAGUUUUCUGGUUUUUUUCGGCCAAAACCGGAGGCUGGGCUGGGGCGGGGCUGGAAGAGGAAGAUGUUGCGGUCCUUUUGGGACCAGUACCGCCCCAAGUGGUGGCUCUAGAUGCCACUGGCUGGGAAGAAAAAUCCAAGAGGGGGGGGGGGGUGGUUGUUCUGUAUCACGAAAACAGAGAGGAGAGAGAGAAAGAGAGAGAGAGAGAGAGAGAGAGAGAGAGAGUGUGUGUGUGUGUGUGUGUGUGUGUGUGUGUGUGAUAUCAGAUUUUUAAAAUACCCUUUUUCGAAAAAUGUAUGAUUUUGCCACUAUAUUUUUCAUCGUAACUUCUUUGUUACAACUCAGAUUUGAGUCCACUACGUGUCUACGGACUCAUCUCGACAUGCUCUACGCAAAAGUAUAAUUGAAAUCCCCAGAUUCCCUCCCAAACAAAAAGUCAACUUUAAAUCAUUAAAAUAUUUCAGGGGUAAAAUUAUCUUCUAUUUGAAUAAAUUAAUAAUUAAAAAUUAAUUUGGGAUCGGGUUGUUACAUGCUACAUAAGAAUUCUAUAGUGAGGGCCUUCUUCUAAGGCCCUUAGAUGAUCUCUUAACUGUUAGAUUAAAUUGGUUAGCCAUUGAAUCAAAUUGGUUAGUUUGAUCCAACGGUUAAGAGAUAUGACCUCAUAGCUUUAAUUUGAGCUGCGAAUCCUACCCUGGAAACAUAACUUGAGCUGCGAUCUGAUUCCAUCAUUAAAUAAAUGACGGAUAUGAAUAUUUGUCCAUCUGUAAUAGAAAUUACAUUAGUAGGAAUGUAAAACGAAACAUCUCCCGAUUGGGUCUCAACUAUUGGUAAAGCAUGCCUUAGAUAAGGCCCUCACUCACUCCUUAUAAACCCAGCAUGGCCCCUUAACUUUUCAAUGUGAAUAUAAAACGAAUUUCCAAUAGUUAUUUCUCUUGUCACGACUGCUUUGUUACAAAUUAUGGUCAAGAAUUUAUUAGUUUGAUUAGUGCGUUCGGAAACAAUUUUUGGUUUAUGAAAAACGAAUUUUGUGUGUGUAUUUUUUUUGUUAAUCUUUGCACCCAAUUGGAUGAUAACAGGUUUAGUACUUUUGGUUUAUGAGUCACCCAUGUCAUAAAUCUUCUCUUUCUAAUCUGACAUAGUCUUGGAAGAAAAAAUCUUUUGCCCAAAUUGGAAACUGAGCGAAGAGCCAUUGUAGGUAAUUCAUGUUCUAAAGCUGAGCAGCUUAAUUAAUUACUAAUUAUUGGAUGGUUGACCUACAUUCAACUUCUUAAUUGGCCAAAUAAAUAUUAACGGUGUUGAGCUUUCCGAUGGGAGUAUAAAUUGGGCUGAAAGCAAUGGAGUUUCAUCAUACUCCAAACAAAAAGGAAAUAACAAAGUCUCAAGAUGGGUUUGAAACUGAAAAAUGUCUUGCCAAUGUUUGUGUUCUUGUUGUUAGCAUCCACAGCUAAAGCUCAAUCUGCUGCCUUAGAUGUGACAAGUGAAAAAUAUGGUGGAAAGCCAGACUCUGAUAUUACCCAGGUAACAAAAACAUUUGUAUUCAUAUUCGGUUCUGAUUAGAAUUUGUUUCUACAAUUGUUUGCCAAACAAAAUCGUUAACAGUUUUAAAUUUGCGUAAUGUUAAUUAGGCUUUAGAGAAGGCUUGGACAGAUGCAUGUGCAUCAACAGCACCAAGUAAAAUUGUUGUUCCAAAGGGAACAUUCAAGUUUGUAGGAACAACUUUUAAAGGUCCUUGCAAGGCUGCUAUUGAGUUUCAGCUCCAAGGAACAUUGCAGGCUCCAGUAGAUGGCAGCCAGCUCCCGAAGGACGACACUUGGAUUGGUUUCGACAACGUCGACGGGCUCACCUUGUCAGGUGGUGGAACUUUUGAUGGCCAAGGAGCACAGUCUUGGAAAAACAAUGAUUGCAACAAAAAUAGACAAUGCAAAUCUAAACACAUUGUAAGAUGAUUUAAUCCUACCAUGUUGUUUUAUAUACUUGAAAAUCUUCUUGUGUCACAUAGGAGCAUUUGCGAAAUCAUGCUCAUUGAUCAAUUCUUGACUUGAUGAUACGUGAUCCAGAUUCACAGCCUGACAAUAUAAACAUAUUUCAUUUGUUUUCUUAAUAUAUGCAGAAUUUGAGGUUCCACUUACUCACCAAUUCCAAAAUUUUGGACGUAACUUCAAAAGAUAGCAAAAAUUUCCACGUCAAUCUUUUGAAGUGCGAGAAAGUUGAAUUCAACGGAUUUACCGUCUCAGCACCUAAGGAAAGCAUGAACACAGAUGGAAUUCACAUCGGUCGUUCAACUGGGAUCAACAUCACUGCCACAACCAUCGGAACUGGGGAUGAUUGUAUUUCGAUCGGUGACGGUACCAAGGACCUCACCGUGACCAACGUUACUUGCGGGCCAGGCCACGGCAUAGCCAUCGGGAGCCUUGGAAGGUACCCAGAGGAAGAACCCGUGUCCGGCAUCAAUAUUAAGAAAUGCACCUUGACUGAUACAACGAAUGGUGUGAGGAUCAAAACAUGGCCUGCUUCCCCAAAAGAUAGCACUGCCUCGGAUAUUCACUUUGAGGAUAUUACCAUGGUUAAUGUUGGUAACCCUAUCCUCAUUGACCAAGAGUACUGCCCAUGGAACGAAUGCAAAAAAGGGGUAUCUAUCUAUAACAAUUUACUAACACCAUAUAUAUGUUCCUUGUUAAUCAAGUCAUCAUUUACUUAAUCUUUAAAAGGAUUUAAAUUAAUCAAUUAAUUAAUGAAUGGUUUUGUGUAGGUUCCUUCCAAAGUUAAGAUCAGCAAUGUUAGCUUCAAGAACAUCAAGGGCACAUGUACCGACCCAGUUGCUGUGAAGCUUGCAUGCAGCCCAGGCCUGCCAUGUGAGAAUGUGGAAUUGAGUGACAUUGAUCUCAAGUACACUGGAGACAAAGGUCCUAUUACCUCUGUGUGUUCUAAUGUCAAGCCGACAAUUACUCGCGUGGCACAGCCUCUUGCUUGCGCUACCAGCGCUGCUGCUCCUGCUUCUGCUUGAUCUAACAAGCACAAACCAUGCUGCUGAUGUUUC
rnacentral:lncRNA from 1 species